CUGCUGCCUCCCGUAGGAGUCUGGGCCGUAUCUCAGUCCCAAUGUGGCCGAUCGACCUCUCAGUCCGGCUACCCGUCGUCGGCUAGGUGGGCCACUGCCCCGCCUACUACCUGAUGGGCCGCGACCCCAUCCUGCACCGCCGGAGCUUUCAUCCGCUCCCCAUGCGGGGUGCGGAUAGUAUCCGGUAUUAGCUGCCGUUUCCGGCAGUUAUCCCGAUGUGCAGGGCAGGUUGGUCACGUGUUACUCACCCGUUCG
rnacentral:rRNA from 1 species